rnacentral:rRNA from 1 species
CCUACGGGGGGCAGCAGGGAGGAAUAUUGGUCAAUGGGCGGACGCCGGAACCAGCCAAGUCGCGGGAGGGAAGACUGCCCUAUGGGUUGUAAACCUCUUUUGUCAGGGAGCAAGUGGCGCUACGUGUAGCGUUAUCGAGAGCACCUGAAGAAAAAGCAUCGGCUAACUCCGUGCCAGCAGCCGCGGUAAUACGGAGGAUGCGAGCGUUAGCCGGAUUUAUUGGGUUUAAAGGGUGAGUAGGCGGAAUGCCAAGUCAGCGGUAAAAUCGCGGGGCUCAACCUCGCUCCGCCGUUGAAACUGGCGUUCUUGAGUGGGCGAGAAGUAUGCGGAAUGCGUGGUGUAGCGGUGAAAUGCAUAGAUAUCACGCAGAACUCCGAUUGCGAAGGCAGCAUACCGGCGCCCAACUGACGCUGAGGCACGAAAGCGUGGGUAUCGAACAGGAUUAGAUACCCGAGUAGUC